rnacentral:rRNA from 1 species
ACGCUCGACACCUACGGGCAGCAGUGGGGAAUAUUGCACAAUGGGGGAAACCCUGAUGCAGCGACGCCGCGUGAGUGAAGAAGUAAUUCGUUAUGUAAAGCUCUAUCAGCAGGGAAGAAAGUGACGGUACCUGAGUAAGAAGCCCCGGCUAACUACGUGCCAGCAGCCGCGGUAAUCUGAGCGGGCUGGCAAGGC